rnacentral:rRNA from 1 species
CGUGUAGGCGGAAACGCAAGCCGGAGGUGAAAUCCCUGGGCUCAACCCGGGACGUGCUUUCGGAACUGCGUAUCUGGAGACAGGCAGAGGCAGGUGGAAUUCCAGGUGUAGAGGUGAAAUUCGUAGAGAUCUGGAGGAACACCGGCGGCGAAGGCGGCCUGCUGGGCCUGAUCUGACGCUGAGGCGCGAAAGCGUGGGAGCAAACAGGAUUAGAUACCCUGGUAGUCCACGCUGUAAACGAUGAGCACUCGAUGUGCGAGGUAUCCACUCCUCGCGUGUCACAGCUAGCGCAUUAAGUGCUCCGCCUGGGGACUACGGUCGCAAGACUAAA